rnacentral:rRNA from 1 species
GAUGAACGCUGGCGGCGUGCCUAACACAUGCAAGUCGAACGAAAGGACGAGAAGAUCGUUCUCUUGCUGUUGGCGGCGGACGGGCGAGUAACACGUAGAUCACCUACUUCUAUGACUGGGGUAAUAACGGGGAACAGCAGAUACUAAUGGAUCAUAUUACGUACCGCAUGGUUCAAAAGUGCAUGACGGUCUUGCUGUCACUAAUAGCUGGUUCCGUGCUGCAUUAGCUAGUUGGUAAGGUCACGGCUUACCAAGGCAACGAUGCGUAGCUGAGCUGAGAGGAUGAUCGGCCACACUGGAACUGAGACACGGUCCAGACUCCUACGGGAGGCAGCAGUGGGGAAUCUUCGACAAUGGGCGAAAGCCUGACCGAGCAACGCCGCGUGCGUGAUGAAGGUCUUCGGAUCGUAAAGCUCUGUUAUUGGGAAAGAACAGAAGUAGGAGAAUCUGCGCACAUCUUGACGGUACCUAAACAAAAAGCCACGGCUAACUUCGUG